UCCAUUAACUUUCCUUUGCUGUAUAGAAAUUUAAUUUCAUGAAGUUCUAUUUUCAAUUUUUUUUUUUUUUUUGCUUUAUUUCCUGUGUUAUGAGAAGACUACUAGAGAUGACCACUCAGACCCAGUCUGUAGCCGAAAUUGAAUGUGUUUAUUCCAGCUGGCUGGCUCUCCACUCAGGGGCAAGUCUACAUCCUGACACACCUCCUGCCUAUUGUGAUAACAUGCAUGUACUAUGCAAUUGGUAGAACCAAGCUUGUUACAGAAGUGAAAACACACGGCUUGUCAUCUUAUGUGAACAGCUCCCAGCAUUCCAAGAAGUUGUCUGUCCUUGGGCAAACGGGGCUAACAGCCUUCCAAGUUUUGGGCUCCAUUGGCAGCCAGAUGGCAUAAUGAAUUCACUGAGACGCAGCAGCUGUGGCCAAGAAUGUGCUGGCCGUGUGUCAGAGCCCUGUGCCUUAACUCUGCGGAGGAG